rnacentral:tRNA from 1 species
GGCUUUAUAGUCAACAAUGAUAUUAGACUGCAAAUCUGAGGGAGUAAUUUUUUAGUUACUAAGGCUU